rnacentral:lncRNA from 1 species
GAGCCUGCAAGACAAAGGCUCAGGUAGAAGAAGGAGGGCCAGGGGCUGCAGGAAGGCAGGAGGAUGCCAGGGGGAACCGAGGUAGCUGGAAAUGUUGCGAAACACACACUCACAUGCCCCAGCUUGCCCCCAAGCCGGCUGCACUGCUUUCCCCUCCUCAGCCCACUCAUGGCUCGGGUCAGCCGACGUCCCAUCCUGUGCCUUUCCAUGGUGGGAGACCACCGCGGGAUGGACCUGUGCCCCUGACCAAGCCUGAAUUAUAAGAUAAUUCUUUUGCUUCUAAAGGCUUCUUUCUAAGGCAGAAGAGUAGACACAGGUUCUGAAGAUUCUGAUCCCAGAGUUCUGGCUUUCCCCUCCCUUUGUGGCCCCCAGUUCCACCAGCAAAGCAUGGGGUGCUUUCCGGCCACCCUGCAAGCUGGGCUCCCAGGCACUGUGUUGGGAGUAAGCAAUGUGGAGUCAUCUCUUCCCCCAGAGAAACGCUGACAAGUAUUAGCUCACAGACAUGUGUGCACAAAGAUGGAUGCUCACAGUUGUCCGUUGGAGCACUGUUUGAAGCAGCAAAAGGAACCAAUUCAACUUUCCCUGAGUAGGAAAAUGGCUAAAUAAAUGGUAACUUAUUCACAGAAGGGAAUAUAAUACAGCUGUUAAAAUCAUGAAAAAAGCAAGAAGCCCCUUGCCAGAAGCAAGCCUCAUGACUUAGGACUUUCCAGCCUCCAGAAUUCUGGGCAUGGUGGCUCACACCUGUAAUCCCAGCACUUCGGGAGGCCCAGGUGGGCGGAUCACCUGAGGUCAGGAGUUUGAAACCAGCCUGAGCAACAUGGUGAAACCCCAUCUCUACUACAAAUACAAAAAUUAGCUGGGUGUGGUGGCUUGCAUCUGUAAUUCCAGCUACUAGGGAGGCAGAGGAAGAAGAACUCCUUGAACCUGGGAGGUGGAGGUUGUGGUGAGCCAAAAUCACAUCACUGCACUUCAGCCUGGGCAAAAAAGCAAGACUCUAUCUCAAAUAUAUAUAUAUUUUUUUUUCAAUAAAAAGCUAGAAAAAUUGGAGAGGUAUAUCAGGCUGUUCUUGCAUUGCUAUGAAUAAAGAAAAGAUGUUUAAUUGGCUCAUGGUUCUGCAGGCUGCAGAGGAAGAUACACAGGUAUCUGCUUCUGGGGAGGCCUCAGGAAGCUUCCAGUCAUGGUAGAAGGUAAAGAGGGAGCAGAUGUCUCACACGGUGGGAGCAGGAGCAGGGGGCGGGGAGGUGCCACACGCACUUUUAAACGACCGGAUCUUGAGAGAACUCACUCACCGUCACGAGAAUAGCACCAAAGGAAUGGUGCUAAACCACGCAUGAGAUAUCCUCUCCCGUGACUCAGGCCCCACCUCCAACAAUGAGGAUCACAUUUCAACAUGAGAUUUGGGCGGGGACACAGAUCCAAACCACCCAAACAGAGGCAAUAAAGACUACCUAGUCUAACUGUCUUGACGCUGCCUGAACCCCCUUGGUGGAAUGACAAUUACAUAAAAGCCUGAACUCAUUCAUUCUCCCACUCUCUUAAACUUAUUAUUCUUUCAAAGUUUAGUUUAUUUGUUUGUUUGUUUGUUUGAGUAAACUAUCAUGGUGGAGAAAAGAAAGCUUAAUUUCC